AUUGAACGCUGGCGGCAGGCCUAACACAUGCAAGUCGAGCGGAUGACGGGAGCUUGCUCCUUGAUUCAGCGGCGGACGGGUGAGUAAUGCCUAGGAAUCUGCCUGGUAGUGGGGGACAACGUUUCGAAAGGAACGCUAAUACCGCAUACGUCCUACGGGAGAAAGCAGGGGACCUUCGGGCCUUGCGCUAUCAGAUGAGCCUAGGUCGGAUUAGCUAGUAGGUGAGGUAAUGGCUCACCUAGGCGACGAUCCGGAACUGGUCUGAGAGGAUGGUCAGUCACACUGGAAGUGAGAAACGGUCCAGACUCCUACGGGAGGCAGACGUGGGCAAGAUUGGACAAUGGGCGAAAGCCUGAUCCAGCCAUGCCGCGUGUGUGAAGAAGGUCUUCGGAUUGUAAAGCACUUUAAGUUGGGAGGAAGGGCAGUAAGCUAAUAUCUUGCUGUUUUGACGUUACCGACAGAAUAAGCACCGGCUAACUCUGUGCCAGCCGCCGCGGUAACAC
rnacentral:rRNA from 1 species